GUAGUGCGAGGUCAUCGGACCGAGCGCGCCCGUCUUCGGCACGGGCCCCUCGGUGAUCGUCACACCGGCUCGGCGC
rnacentral:tRNA from 1 species